rnacentral:rRNA from 1 species
GUAGGUGGCAAGCGUUGUCCGGAAUUAUUGGGCGUAAAGCGCGCGCAGGUGGUUCUUUAAGUCUGAUGUGAAAGCCCCCGGGCUCAACCGGGGAGGGUCAUUGGAAACUGGGGAACUUGAGUGCAGGAGAGGAAAGUGGAAUUCCACGUGUAGCGGUGAAAUGUGUAGAUAUGUGGAGGAACACCAGUGGCGAAGGCGACUUUCUGGCCUGUAACUGACACUGAGGCGCGAAAGCGUGGGGAGCAAACAGGAUUAGAUACCCUGGUAGUCCACGCCGUAAACGAUGAGUGCUAAGUGUUGGGGGGUUUCCGCCCCUCAGUGCUGCAGCUAACGCAUUAAGCACUCCGCCUGGGGAGUACGGUCGCAAAGACUG